rnacentral:rRNA from 1 species
CUAUUAUUUUUUAAUGUAAAAGUUGAUUUGAUAUUGAUUUACUAAAGUAUUAUGGAAAAUAACUGAUAUAAUAUUAGUUGGGUUAUUUAAAACUUAAAAGGUUUGGCGGUUUUACAUAUCCAGUUAGGGGAGCUUGUUAAUAUAAUUUGAUAAUCCACAUUUUAAACUUACUUUUUUUUGUAUAAUAUAAUUAUUGUGAUUAUAUUAUCAGUUUAUAUAUUGCUGUCGGUAGUUUAUAUUUAAAGAAAUAAAGGACUAAUAAAUGUUGUUAAUUAUUAUGUCAAGUCAUAAUGUAGCUGAUGAAAAAGGUUUAAUGGGCUACUAUAGUUAAUAUUUAUUUAUAUUAUCCGGAUAGUAAAAUUUAUGUUUUAUUAAAAAGGGGGACUUAAUAGUAAAAGUAUAAUUAGUAUGUAUUUUUGAAUAUGGUUUUGUAAAGUGUAC